rnacentral:lncRNA from 1 species
UCGACACAGUUUUUCCGUAGUGCCGGAAAAAUUUGUCAAAAUCCGAUUCUUCCUCUUUUAACCGCCUCUACAACCUUUAUCCGACCCCUCUAGACUAUAUCCACCCUUUGUAUAGCCUAAUGUCAUCAAAAGACUAGAUAGGGAUGGAUAUUUACCUUUUUUUUUUGAAAAUCGAGGUCCUUGCGUAGAGGGGAAGGAGAUCUACACUUUUUCCUUCAGCUGGCAGCGCAACCGGGAUCUCCUUCCUCUUCCUUUCUUCCUUUCCUUUCCUCUUCCUUUCUUCCUUUCCUUUCCUCUCCUUCUUUUUCUUCCUCUCUGUCCGUCUAAGACUCCCUCUGUGACUCUCACUCGGUUUCCAUCCAAAAGCCACAGCAAACCCCCUAAUUAAAUCACAUCAAAAUACUAUUCACCCUUUGUUUAAUAUUAUUAAAUUUCCAUUUUGCCCCUAACACUUCAACAUAUCUACCGUUAUGCCAUUAACUUUUGAUUCCUUCCAAUUUUACCCUUAUAUCAAUUUUAAAGGACUAUUCUAUUCCUUUUUAUAUAAAAAAAUAUUUUGGGGUUAUUACAUCCUCCCCCCCUUAUAUAAAAUUCGUCCUCGAAUUUAAAAGAGUAAAUUACCUGAUUACUCAAAGGGGUGAGGGUAUUUGCUCUUCAUACUUUGCUCCGACUCCCAAGUGCAUUCUUCAACAUUGUGCCGGUGCCAUUGGACCUUUACCAUACAUAUUUUCUUAUUUCUCAGCUUCCUGAUCUGAGUAUCAAGAAUAGCG